AUUGAACGCUGCGGCAGGCUUAACACAUGCAAGUCGAGCGAGCGGCGGACGGGUGAGUACUGCUUAGGAAUCUGCCUAUUAGUGGGGUACACCAUCUCGAAGGGGAUGAUAAUACCACAGACUAGUAGGUGGGCCUAAGUCGGCGUUGCUAGUUGGUGGGGUAAAGGCCUACCAAGGCGACGAUCUGUAGCGGGUCUGAGGGGAUGAUCCGCCAAAAGGGGACUGGGGAACGGCCCCGAAGCCUACGGGAGGCAGCAAGGGGGAAGAUUGGAGAAUGGGGGGAACGCUGAACCAGCCAAGCCGGGGGUGGGGAGAAGGACUUAUGGUUGUAAAGCACUUUAAGCGAGGAGGCGUUAUUCGCAGAAUAAGCACCGGCUAACUCUGUGCCAGCAGCCGCGGUAAUAC
rnacentral:rRNA from 1 species